AACGAACGCUGGCGGCAUGCCUAACACAUGCAAGUCGAACGAGACCUUCGGGUCUAGUGGCGCACGGGUGCGUAACGCGUGGGAAUCUGCCCUUGGGUUCGGAAUAACAGUUAGAAAUGACUGCUAAUACCGGAUAAUGUCUUCGGACCAAAGAUUUAUCGCCCAGGGAUGAGCCCGCGUAGGAUUAGCUAGUUGGUGAGGUAAAGGCUCACCAAGGCGACGAUCCUUAGCUGGUCUGAGAGGAUGAUCAGCCACACUGGGACUGAGACACGGCCCAGACUCCUACGGGAGGCAGCAGUGGGGAAUAUUGGACAAUGGGCGAAAGCCUGAUCCAGCAAUGCCGCGUGAGUGAUGAAGGCCUUAGGGUUGUAAAGCUCUGUUACCCGGGAUGAUAAUGACAGUACCGGGAGAAUAAGCCCCGGCUAACUCCGUGCCAGCAGU
rnacentral:rRNA from 1 species